CCUACGGGCGGCAGCAGUGGGGAAUAUUGGGCAAUGGGCGCAAGCCUGACCCAGCAACGCCGCGUGAAGGAAGAAGGCUUUCGGGUUGUAAACUUCUUUUAUCAGGGACGAAGCAAGUGACGGUACCUGAUGAAUAAGCUACGGCUAACUACGUGCCCGCAGCCGCGGUAAUACGUAGGUGGCAAGCGUUAUCCGGAUUUACUGGGUGUAAAGGGCGUGUAGGCGGGAAAGCAAGUCAGAUGUGAAAUCCAUGGGCUCAACCUGUGGCCUGCAUUUGAAACUGUUUUUCUUGAGUACUGGGGAGGCAGGCGGAAUUCCUGGUGUAGCGGUGAAAUGCGUAGAUAUUAGGAAGAACACCAGUGGCGAAGGCGGUCUGCUAGACAGCAACUGACGCUGAGGCGCGAAAGCGUGGGGAGCAAACAGGAUUAGAUACCCGAGUAGUC
rnacentral:rRNA from 1 species